rnacentral:rRNA from 1 species
CCUACGGGGGGCUGCAGUGAGGAAUAUUGGUCAAUGGGCGUAAGCCUGAACCAGCCAAGUCGCGUGAGGGAUGAAGGUUCUAUGGAUCGUAAACCUCUUUUAUAAGGGAAUAAAGUGUGGGACGUGUCCUGUUUUGUAUGUACCUUAUGAAUAAGGAUCGGCUAACUCCGUGCCAGCAGCCGCGGUAAUACGGAGGAUCCGAGCGUUAUCCGGAUUUAUUGGGUUUAAGGGGGGCGUAGGCGGCCUUUUAAGUCAGCGGUGAAAGUCUGUGGCUCAACCAUAGCAUUGCCGUUGAAACUGGGAGGCUUGAGUAUGGUUGAGGCAGGCGGAAUGCGUGGUGUAGCGGUGAAAUGCGUAGAUAUCACGCAGAACCCCGAUUGCGAAGGCAGCCUGCCAAGCCAUGACUGACGCUGAUGCACGAAAGCGUGGGGAUCAAACAGGAUUAGAUACCCUUGUAGUC